GGACUUGAGGGCAACCUGGCUGUGACACCUGUUGCCCCACUGAUCACUAGGAUUGAUCUGGCUGAUGUGGCUGCCUAGGCGGGUGUCCCCGUCCUUCUCACCGCUCCACAUGCACUCCUUCUGAAGCUGUGUGCUCGGUCAAGGAGGACAACCAUCCCUGAUAGAGGAGGACCAGCCUUUGGUUAAGGGCACAUGAGCAGCCGUGUCUCCCGCUAGAACCCCCAAACAUGCUCUCAAUUUAUUCAUUAUGGAAGGACCCUCAAAUGCCAUCACUUUGUGUAGACAGACUUGGACGUUUCAUGU
rnacentral:snRNA from 1 species